AAUAAGGUCAGUCCUGCUGGGAGGUAAGGUGGGUCUUGAUUGACUUUUGGUGCCUGCUGUAGAUGCUGAGAGGUGCAAGCGCAGCCUUCUCAAUUCAGUUUCAUAGAUCUCUGCAAAAAAUUACUGUUCUGUGUGAGUCUGCUCAUUUCACUGUAUAAAGAACUACAUAGACAGUAAAGCACCUUGUCCUGCUCAAUGCCACAGUAACCAUGUGGGAGGAAAGGAAGUGGAAUUGCUCCAUAGCCAAAACUGCAGGGUGCUAGUUGGAAGGACACAGUGGGAUUUAAACAGUCCCUCAAGUUUAAAAUGGGUACAGAGACUUUCCAUGUAGGAGCAACUGGCAGAGUGCAAAGAAGUCAAGGCUCAGUCAUGGUAUUUUGGGCAUUCAUAUUCUAAUGAGCUCCAGUAAUGGCCCUGUGAACAAAUAACAAAAAUACAAUUUGUUUUUUCAACCUCCUUAAAGAUGGUAGGGAAAAAACCAACCUCAACUUGGCCAUUAGAAAAUGUUUUUUCUCUGCUGGGCAUAUGCUAAUUAGGACUUUGCAGAUUCUAUCAAGAGCUAUUCUAGCUUUAUGUAGAACUGCCUUUAACUUCUCUAAAGUCACAUUAGUACUGCCAGUCAAAAAUAAGGUCUGUGGCUAGAUACGCCCCCUCAAAAAUCAUAAAAUGUAGCAUUUUUAUUUUUUUUAAGGUAGAGUUAAUAGAUAUCUGUGACAACUUGAUUCAUACAUUCAUUACCAGACAUGAAUGAACUAAUGCUUGGUUUAAUUUUUGGCGUUUCUUAGCUGCAUCUAUGGAAGUUGUAUAAAAGAACCUUUCUGUGUCAGCGUGUGCAAAUUUAUUUCGGUUUUUGUAAUGGAAAUUUUGAGAUCUGGCUGUGGUAUUUUGGCACUAAUCUGCUUCAAUCUAGAUCAGGCAAAAUUAAUUUCUUGUUUUUGAU